CAUGCAGACCGGGUGGCCGCCGUCCUUCCUCUUGAGGAAGGAGGGAGGAAAGUCCGGGCUCCUCUGGGCAGGGUGCUGGGUAACACCCAGGCCUCUGGCGGCGGUGGUAACGCUCCGUCGGGGGACGGAAAGUGGCACAGAAACAUACCGUCCUUCCAGCUUUGGAAGGAUAAGGGUGAAAUCGGACGGUAAGAGCGUCCGGCUGUCUGCGGUGACGCAGCGGCGGCUAAACCCCACCUGGAGCAAGGCCAAAUAGGGGGACAUAGGUGCCCGGCCUGUCCCCGGGUUGGCUGCUUGACCGCGGCGGCAACGCCGCUCUGCCAAAAGUGGACUUCCGCCGGCUUAACCGCGGGCGGAAGGGCUAGAUAAAUGGUCACCGCCCUUCCCCUCUGGGGAAGGAUACAGAACCCGGCUUACAGGUCUGCGGCACCC
rnacentral:RNase_P_RNA from 1 species